rnacentral:rRNA from 1 species
UACGAAGGGAGCUAGCGUUGUUCGGAAUCACUGGGCGUAAAGCGCACGUAGGCGGAUGUGUCAGUCAGGGGUGAAAUCCCGGAGCUCAACUUCGGAACUGCCUUUGAUACAGCACGUCUUGAGUCCGGAAGAGGUGGGUGGAAUUCCUAGUGUAGAGGUGAAAUUCGUAGAUAUUAGGAAGAACACCGGUGGCGAAGGCGGCCCACUGGCCCGAUACUGACGCUGGAGGCGCGAAAGCGUGGGGAGCAAACAGG